UUUUAGGUAAACGCUGUAUAUUUAUUAUAUAGAGGAAAGUCCAUGCUCACAAGAACUGAGAUGUUCUUAGUGUUUGUGCUUAGGGAAAAAAUAACCUAGGGUAGAGCAAUCUAACGGCUUCGAAAUAGUCUAAGUUUUAAUAUGACUAAAGUAGAUAUAAAAGUGCCACAGAAACGAGUCUUUUGGGAAACUGAAAGAAUGAAACGAGGUAAACCCCACAAGUGAGAAACCCAAAUUUUGGUAGGGGAAUUCUGAUAGGGAAUAAAACUGAUUCAGGAAUCGAAAGAUAGAUAAAUGUUUACCACCUUUAUGGUACAGAACAUGGCUUAUU
rnacentral:RNase_P_RNA from 1 species